rnacentral:rRNA from 1 species
GCUACCUCAAAGUCGUGGAUAACGAUUGGAAAGAAUCGUUUAAUACUGUGAUUGUGGUGUCAGAUUGUGUUCUUGCCAGUAAAGAUUGAUUGCUUUGGGAUGGGGUUGCGUUCCAUCAGCUAGUUGGUGGGGUAAAGGCCCACCAAGGCGACGACGGAUAGCCGGCCUGAGAGGGUGGCCGGCCACAGGGGCACUGAGACACGGGUCCCACUCCUACGGGAGGCAGCAGUUAGGAAUCUUCCACAAUGGGCGAAAGCCUGAUGGAGNGA